UGCGCGUGCGCGCGCGUGCGCACUCUGGUGGGAACGCGGCUAAUGGCGCUCGGCCGUGCGAAAUGGAAUUUGUGUUGCGCCAUUUCCGGGUGCUGAUUGCCAGCUAAGGGGAGGAGAUGGGAUCUGAAUCCAGCCUUAGAAGCCCUGGUGGACUGAUACCGGUGAGGUCAGGGCAUGGGGAGAUGGGGAAGAGGGCUUUCCUGCCAGAAGGAGCCACAGCCACCAGUCACAAGAGACAUGUAAAGCGAAGGAGACAAGAAGAGCCAUGAGAGAGAGUGGCGUUUUCCCAACGGAAAGGUGAACAGAUGUGCAUCCAGAGGAAUGUACUAAAUUGCUUGUAGCAGAAUUAUUUCUGAUAGCCCCCAACUGGCAACUGACCUAACCGUUCAGCAUGUGCCCAGAUAUAGUUUAUUGCCUAUUUACCAAGGUCUGCAUUCAGCAGCAGUUCUCAAAGUGUGGCCGGGUCAGAGGGUCUGCGAGGUCAACAUGAUGUUUAUACUCCUACAAAGAAAUCACUUGCUUCGUUUACUCUCAUGCACUCGUGAGCAUGCCCAGGAGUUUUCAAGAGGCUGUGUGACUAGAAGACUUCCUUGCUGUGACAGACAACAGAAUGUGUGUACUUGUGUUUUCAAUAUUCCUGUUUUAGGGCCGCCUGGGUGGCUCAGACAUUAAACAUCCGACUUCGGCUCA